GAUGAACGCUGGCGGCGUGCCUAAUACAUGCAAGUCGAGCGAAUGGAUUAAGAGCUUGCUCUUAUGAAGUUAGCGGCGGACGGGUGAGUAACACGUGGGUAACCUGCCCAUAAGGCUGGGAUAACUCCGGGAAACCGGGGCUAAUACCGGAUAACAUUUUGAACCGCAUGGUUCGAAAUUGAAAGGCGGCUUCGGCUGUCACUUAUGGAUGGACCCGCGUCGCAUUAGCUAGUUGGUGAGGUAACGGCUCACCAAGGCAACGAUGCGUAGCCGACCUGAGAGGGUGAUCGGCCACACUGGGACUGAGACACGGCCCAGACUCCUACGGGAGGCAGCAGUAGGGAAUCUUCCGCAAUGGACGAAAGUCUGACGGAGCUACGCCGCGUGAGUGAUGAAGGCUUUCGGGUCGUAAAACUCUGUUGUUAGGGAAGAACAAGUGCUAGUUGAAUAAGCUGGCACCUUGACGGUACCUGACCAGAAAGCCACGGCUAACUACGUGCCAGCAGCCGCCGUAA
rnacentral:rRNA from 1 species